GCGAAAGUGGCGGAACUGGUAGACGCACUGGACUUAGGAUCCAGCGGAUCGCUCCGUGGGGGUUCGAGUCCCCCCUUUCGCACCA
rnacentral:tRNA from 1 species